rnacentral:rRNA from 1 species
UACGGGGGGGGCAAGCGUUGUUCGGAAUUACUGGGCGUAAAGGGCUCGUAGGCGGCCAACUAAGUCGGAUGUGAAAUCCCCAAGCUUAACUUGGGAACUGCAUCCGAUACUGGAUGGCUUGAAUCCGGGAGAGGGAUGCAGAAUUCCAGGUGUAGCGGUGAAAUGCGUAGAUAUCUGGAGGAAUACCAGUGGCGAAGGCGGCUUCUUGGCCUGUUCUUGACGCUGAGGCGCGAAAGCUGGGGAGCAAACGGGAUUAAGAACCCGUAG